rnacentral:tRNA from 1 species
UCCCAGGUGGCUUGAAUGGUAAAGAAUCUGCCUAUAAUGCAGGAGACCAGGGUUCGAUCCCUGGGUUGGGAA